GGGUUUGUGGUCUAGUGGUAUGAUUCCUUCCUUCGGGUGGAGGAGGUCCUGGGUUCAAUCCCCAGCAAGCCCC